GAUGAACGCUGGCGGCGUGCCUAAUACAUGCAAGUCGAGCGAACAGACGAGGAGCUUGCUCCUCUGACGUUAGCGGCGGACGAGUGAGUAACACGUGGAUAACCUACCUAUAAGACUGGGAUAACUUCGGGAAACCGGAGCUAAUACCGGAUAAUAUAUUGAACCGCAUGGUUCAAUAGUGAAAGACGGUUUUGCUGUCACUUAUAGAUGGAUCCGCGCCGCAUUAGCUAGUUGGUAAGGUAACGGCUUACCAAGGCAACGAUGCGUAGCCGACCUGAGAGGGUGAUCGGCCACACUGGAACUGAGACACGGUCCAGACUCCUACGGGAGGCAGCAGUAGGGAAUCUUCCGCAAUGGGCGAAAGCCUGACGGAGCAACGCCGCGUGAGUGAUGAAGGUCUUCGGAUCGUAAAACUCUGUUAUUAAGGAAGAACAAAUGUGUAAGUAACUAUGCACGUCUUGACGGUACCUAAUCAGAAAGCCACGGCUAACUACGUG
rnacentral:rRNA from 1 species